AGGGACCCUUGGUUUAAUCCUCUGUUUUACUGCCCAAGGCCGAGCCUUCUUUUCGCCAACCCAGCCGCCAGCGCCUAGGGUUAGUUCGCCGCUGCCGCCGCCACGAGCUCGCCUCUGCUGCUGUCUCGUGACUGCCCUGCUGCUGGUGCCGCAGUGGUUGCAGGCCUCGCUGCUCGCCGGCGUCUACAUUGGGAACUGCUGCCAGGUCCAGGUGUUCCGGGUGUGAGUCAUAAAUCUGCGGAUUAAUCGUCCCUCCUGUUUCGGGAUUAAGGCAAGUACUCCAAACAAUGGCAUGCAUGGGGGGAGUAGCAACACAAAAUCUGGACAGCACACAUCACACGUUAUCAAUUAGAGUCAUAGUUUCAUUCUUAAUGCGAGACAAAGUCACUGUUGAGAACCCCUUUCAUUUCCUUUGUUAGUUGGAGUCGUUAGCCUUCCUGUUUAGUUUACUUGGAGUUUACUUAAUUAUUAUGAACUACGUGCAUGACUUUCUAGUUGCUGGAAAUAUUUGAGAGAUUUUAUAAAUUGCCUGUCGUGGAUGUCCUUACAAACAAA